rnacentral:rRNA from 1 species
AAAGGAAUUGACGGGGGCCCGCACAAGCGGAGGAACAUGUGGUUUAAUUCGAUGAUACGCGAGGAACCUUACCCGGGAUUGAAAUGUACCUGAUGGACAGUGAGAGCUGUCUUCCGCAAGGCAGGUAUGUAGGUGCUGCAUGGUUGUCGUCAGCUCGUGCCGUGAGGUGUCGGCUUAAGUGCCAUAACGAGCGCAACCCUGACUGUCAGUUGCUAACAGGUGAUGCUGAGGACUCUGGCGGGACUGCCGGCGUAAGCUGUGAGGAAGGUUGGGAUGACGUCAAAUCAGCACGGCCCUUACAUCCGGGGCGACACACGUGUUACAAUGGGGAGGACAGAGGGUUGCUACCUGGUGACAGGAUGCCAAUCUCGAAACCUCCUCUCAGUUCGGAUCGGAGUCUGCAACUCGACUCCGUGAAGCUGGAUUCGCUAGUAAUCGCGCAUCAGCCAUGGCGCGGUGAAUACGUUCCCGGGCCUUGUACACACCGCCCGU